rnacentral:rRNA from 1 species
AGUGAACGCUGGCGGUAGGCCUAACACAUGCCAGUCGAACGGCAGCACAGUAAGAGCUUGCUCUUACGGGUGGCGAGUGGCGGACGGGUGAGGAAUACAUCGGAAUCUACUUUUUCGUGGGGGAUAACGUAGGGAAACUUACGCUAAUACCGCAUACGACCUACGGGUGAAAGCAGGGGAUCUUCGGACCUUGCGCGAUUGAAUGAGCCGAUGUCGGAUUAGCUAGUUGGCGGGGUAAAGGCCCACCAAGGCGACGAUCAGUAGCUGGUCUGAGAGGAUGAUCAGCCACACUGGAACUGAGACACGGUCCAGACUCCUACGGGAGGCAGCAGUGGGGAAUAUUGGACAAUGGGCGCAAGCCUGAUCCAGCCAUACCGCGUGGGUGAAGAAGGCCUUCGGGUUGUAAAGCCCUUUUGUUGGGAAAGAAAAGCAGCAGGUUAAUACCCCGCUGUUCUGACGGUACCCAAAGAAUAAGCACCGGCUAACUUCGUG